rnacentral:rRNA from 1 species
GAUGAACGCUGGCGGCGUGCCUAAUACAUGCAAGUCGAGCGAACAGAUGAGGAGCUUGCUCCUCUGACGUUAGCGGCGGACGGGUGAGUAACACGUGGAUAACCUACCUAUAAGACUGGGAUAACUUCGGGAAACCGGAGCUAAUACCGGAUAAUAUAUUGAACCGCAUGGUUCAAUAGUGAAAGACGGUUUUGCUGUCACUUAUAGAUGGAUCCGCGCCGCAUUAGCUAGUUGGUAAGGUAACGGCUUACCAAGGCAACGAUGCGUAGCCGACCUGAGAGGGUGAUCGGCCACACUGGAACUUAGACACGGUCCAGACUCCUACGGGGGGCAGCAGUAGGGAAUCUUCCGCAAUGGGCGAAAGCCUGACGGAGCAACGCCGCGUGAGUGAUGAAGGUCUUCGGAUCGUAAAACUCUGUUAUUAGGGAAGAACAAAUGUGUAAGUAACUAUGCACGUCUUGACGGUACCUAAUCAGAAAGCCACGGCUAACUACGUG